CCUGUAUCAACUGGAGCAGACUAGAUACAGAGCUAUUUUGUAGACACUUCGCAGGUCUCAAAACACCGGCUUGUGCAUCCUGCUCUUCUACCACUCACACUACCAAUUUUUGUUCUCACACGGUAGACGACCGUAAUCAGUCACCCAGCACAAGCUACGCGGGUAGAACUGAGAGAACCACCAGAGACAAACUGGGUCGUCCCAUCAUAUUCUUUGGUAAAUCGCAAGUGUGCAAUAAUUUCAAUGUGGGCACAUGUAGCUUUAGUGCAUGCAAGUUAUUGCAUAUUUGUUCACAUUGUUUCAGGGCACAUGCGCUUACCGUGUGUCCAAAUAAAAUGUACCCUAAACCGUACCUAACGUCUGUUAACAUUCAUGUCUUCUCACUACUACUAACCAAUCACCCUUCCAGACAUAUGGUAAAUUUUCUCAUAUCUGGUUUCUCAGAGGGGUUUCAUACAGGCAUUAUACAUAUGCCCACAGGCCAACUCGAAUGUCCUAAUUUACAAUCAGCACAACAAAACCCAAUAGCCCAAGAGCUGGCAGAGGGGUUCUUGUUUCAAAACCCCACUUUUUACGGCAUGGCGCACAAAUCCCAUAG